rnacentral:rRNA from 1 species
UAACACAUGCAAGUCGAGCGCGCCCUUCGGGGUGAGCGGCGGACGGGUUAGUAACGCGUGGGAAUAUGCCCAAAGGUACGGAAUAGCCUCUGGAAACGGAGAGUAAUACCGUAUGUGCCCUUCGGGGGAAAGAUUUAUCGCCUUUGGAUUAGCCCGCGUUAGAUUAGGUAGUUGGUGGGGUAAUGGCCUACCAAGCCUACGAUCUAUAGCUGGUUUUAGAGGAUGAUCAGCAACACUGGGACUGAGACACGGCCCAGACUCCUACGGGAGGCAGCAGUGGGGAAUCUUGGACAAUGGGCGCAAGCCUGAUCCAGCCAUGCCGCGUGAGUGAUGAAGGCCUUAGGGUCGUAAAGCUCUUUCGCCAGGGAUGAUAAUGACAGUACCUGGUAAAGAAACCCCGGCUAACUCCGUGCCAGCAGCCGCGGUAAUACGGAGGGGGUUAGCGUUGUUCGGAAUUACUGGGCGUAAAGCGCGCGUAGGCGGAUCGGAAAGUUGGGGGUGAAAUCCCGGGGCUCAACCCCGGAACUGCCUCCAAAACUAUCGGUCUA